UGCGGAGGCAGGAUAAUGAGGCAACGAGUCACACUAUAUCCACUGUCAGGAAACACAGAGAGAUGAAUGUUGGUGUUUCUCCAGUUUGUUCAGUCGAUGACCCCCGUUGAUAGAAUUGUGUCACCCUUCAAGGGAAUAAGUAAACAGAUGAUGAUGGAGAACCCAUUCUAAAUUUUAUAUUUUGAGGCACUUACUGCAUUGUGUUUCUCCUCACAAUUCCAACGUCAUUAUAGGUGAGUCAGCUUGGAAACGAAUUUUGAUUGAGAUGCCAGAAACAGAUUUUGGAAAAAGGAGACUUUUCAACAACUAGUCUUUGG